rnacentral:rRNA from 1 species
AACGAACGCUGGCGGCAGGCCUAACACAUGCAAGUCGAACGAGUAGCGGACGGGUGAGUAAUGGCUGGGAAACUGCCUGACGGAGGGGUCUGACUACUGGAAACGGUAGCUAAUACCGCAUACCAUCUGAUCUGCCCAGAUGGGAUUAGCUAGUAGGUGGGGUAAAGGCUAACCUAGGCGACGAUCCUUACCUGUUCUGAGAGGAUGACCAGGCACACUGGAACUGAGACACGGUCCAGACUCCUACGGGAGGCAGCAGUGGGGAAUAUUGCACAAUGGGCGCAAGUCUGAUGCAGCCAUGCCGCGUGUAUGAAGAAGGCGUUCGGGUUGUAAAGUACUUUCGGCGGGGAGGCGUUACCCGAAGAAGAAGCACCGGAUAACUCCGUGCCAGCAGCCGCGGUAAUAC